CUUUAUGAGACUAAUUAUCCACAAAGGAAAGAAUAUUUCUCCUAUUAGCUUGGUUUGGUCUUGACCUUUAGGCACCACUGCUACCAUCAACCCCAACUAUCAUUGUGCUGAGAAACAUUUUCCUCUUACAGCUGAAACCUGACAGCUUUACAAGAGCAACCGCUGGAGCUAGCUGGAAGAAUAAAUUAUAAGAAUACUUAAUAAGAUCUCUUAGACUCAGAUAUCCUUCUGGUGGAGAUGCCUACUAGGUAGAAACUCCCCAGUAUAAAAGUACAUGCUCUCCAACCUGAACACUAGCAAGAACACAUGCUCCGGACGGAUAGAGAAAUCCACUAUGUUCCUGCUUGAGGGCAAAGAAACUCCAAGAGAUGCAGAUCUUCAGCCAGAGAUACAGAAAAAGAGCCAAGUCGCAAGUAUACUGGGACGGAGCAAGGCAGCCAUUUUGACAAUACCCAAGAAAAUGACAUAG
rnacentral:lncRNA from 1 species